UACGAAGGGUGCAAGCGUUAAUCGGAAUUACUGGGCGUAAAGCGCGCGUAGGUGGUUUGGUAAGCGAUAUGUGAAAUCCCCGGGCUUAACCUGGGAACUGCAUGUCGAACUGCCAGGCUAGAGUAUGGUAGAGGGGUGUGGAAUUUCCGGUGUAGCGGUGAAAUGCGUAGAUAUCGGAAGGAACAUCAGUGGCGAAGGCGACACCCUGGACCGAUACUGACACUGAGGCGCGAAAGCGUGGGUAGCGAACAGGAUUAGAUACCCUGGUAGUCCACGCCGUAAACGAUGUCUGCUAGCCGUUGGGUCGCUUGACGACUCAGUGGCGGAGCUAACGCGAUAAGCAGACCGCCUGGGGAGUACGGCCGCAAGGUUAAA
rnacentral:rRNA from 1 species